rnacentral:rRNA from 1 species
AUUCGUUCUCAAAUCAGACGAGACUACCCGCUGAACUUAAGCAUAUCACUAAGCGGAGGAAAAGAAACUAACCAGGAUUCCCCUAGUAACGGCGAGUGAACAGGGAAGAGCUCAAGCCUAAAAUCUUCGGAAUUGUAGUCUAUAGGUGCGAACUUCGACAACCCCGGGUAGAAAUCCGUUCUUGGAACUGGGUGCCAGAGAGGGUUAGAGCCCCGUCUUUGACUCGGUAGGGUGUCUUGACAAGGUCGCUCCAGAGAGUCGGCUUGCUUGGGAAUGCAGGCCAAAGUGGGUGGUAAACUCCAUCUAAAGCUAAAUAUUGGCGAGAGACCGAUAGCGAACAAGUACUGUGAAGGAAAGAUGGAAAGAACUUUGAAAAGAGAGUGAAAAAGGGCUUGAAAUUGUUGAGAGGAGAAGUGAUUGGAGCCUAUCCUGCGUGGCGGGAUCCUAGGGCUGGGGCUUGCUCCCGCCUGCACCAUGCCGUCACGCUGGCCAGCAUCGGUUCUCUGUGGGGGACAAGGCCCGGAGGGCGGUCGGUGUCAAAACCGACUGGCUCCGGGCGCAUGACCCGUGGGGGACCGAGGCACCAAGAGCACGCCUAGCGGCCGGCCCAUUCCGCGCCUUGCGCUCUGUCUGCACACGUCAGUGUUCGGGCAUAGUGGUGGGGUCGAUGGAGUGGAGCGCUGGACCUGUGCUCUGAAGAUGCUGGCACAAUGGCUUCAACCAGCCCGUCUUGAAACACGGACCAAGGAGUCUAACACGUAUGCGAGUAGUAAGGUGGCAAACCUUGGAUGCGAAAUGAAAGUGAAUGCAGGUGGGAUCCCCUCUGGGGUGCACCAUCGACCGACCAGGAUCUAUUGUGAAAGGUUUGAGUAAGAGCAUAUUUGUUGGGACCCGAAAGAUGGUGAACUAUGCCUGAAUAGGGUGAAGCCAGAGGAAACUCUGGUGGAGGCUCGUAGCGGUACUGACGUGCAAAUCGUUCGUCAAAUUUGGGUAUAGGGGCGAAAGACUAAUCGAACCAUCUAGUAGCUGGUUCCCUCCGAAGUUUCCCUCAGGAUAGCUGGAGCUCGCACAAGUUUUAUCGGGUAAAGCGAAUGAUUAGAGGCCUCGGGGGUGCACAUCCUCGACCUAUUCUCAAACUUUAA